CCCGCCCCCACUGCCUUCGGCUGCCCCUCCCAGGAGCAGGGACAGCCUGCAGGCACCGUCCCCUGGCCUGGAUACUCAUUAACUCUGCUGCCUACCCUAUCAGACUGGGUCUUCCCCCCUCCUCAUACCCUGCAUGCAGGCAUCUUGACCUGGCGACCUGGCGUGGAGCAGACAUCAAACCAGACGCCGCCUUAAGAAAGGCUUGGCCCGGGGCUCUCGGUGGCCACACUUCCCGGUGAGAACUGACCUUCAGGGAGCCCUCAGCCAGUGCCCCGGCCCACGUACGCUGUAGGCCACCCUCCCAGGGGUGUAAUUAUUUCCCCUUUUCACAGAUGGAGAAACUCGGGCUCAGAGAGGGAGGUCAUUCAUCAAGGUCAUUCCGAGAGCUGGUGGCUGAGCAGGGGGUCUGAGCCCAGGCUCCUGCCUGCCCACCCGAGCCCUAUGAGUAGAGACCGCUUGCGACCCCAUUUCACAGGCGGGGAAACCAAGGCUGAUGGAAACCAGCUCAAAGGCAGCGGGCGUCAGUGGCCUGGCCAGGACCUGGAUCCUGCUCCACCUGCCUCUCUGUGAGCUUCUUCAGAAACAGGCCUGCCAGCCUUCUCCACUCAGAGCCGGGACCGGGCCCCAUCUUCAUCCGUCCACUCACUGGGGCCAGGCGCCCGGGCUGUAGUCUCCUGCAGACAAAUCUCACAACAGACCCUGCCAGUCUGACGGUGGAGGCUACCAGGAACCUGGGCAGCAAGGUGCGGG
ensembl:lncRNA